ACCUCCCGACAGCUGUCUAGUGAUGAUUUACAUAUUGGUGUGGUGUCAUAUUUGAUAUAUGCAUAUGGCAGUAGGGAGUUGUUGCUGGUUCGCCUGGGGCGUAAAACCCACCUUCCGAUAGCUGUCUAGUGAUGAUUUCAGCAUAUUGACACCUGAUUUAUAUGUUCCAGCAUUAUGAUCUGUUGAGCAUAUUCAUGAGUAGCAUAUAUGUUUACUUGAUUAUUCCAUAUAUGCUUCAGAUGAGUUGAUAUUGAUUGUGGUGAUAUUGAUGAUUUACUCCAUAUUCUCUAU
rnacentral:lncRNA from 1 species